rnacentral:lncRNA from 10 species
GGAAAACCAACAGGACCCUAGAAUGACGUUUUGAAAGAAAAAGAAAUAAAUGAAAAAUAAAUUUUUAUAAAAUUAUGACAUUCUGGAGGUGAAGAGGUUAAAGUCAUGACAAAACCUGCUGAGAAUAUUUCUCUUCUCCCGCCAAAAAAUUUCUAAAGAAUUAAUUCAAUUGAGAAUGCUUACGAAUAUAUGAAAUGAUGAAAAGUCAGAUUUACCAUCUAUGUUCCAGAGUCUCAGGAUUUCAAAUCUUUCUAAGAAAAGCUCCAAGUCUAUUUUUACUCAGUUCUGGCCUGCCAGAAUUAAAGCAGAUAUUAAAUAAUGAAGAAAAUGAAGACCAGAGACAUGAAGGAAACAUAGACUUCUUCAUUGUGAAAAGUUGGCCAGAAGGAAAAAUAUCAUCAAAGCCAUGGAUCCAUUAAUGAUAUUGAUUAUACCUGAGCUCCAGGAAGACCUCUUUCCCCUGGGAAACCACGUAAUCCUGCUGGUCCAUCUUUCCCUGAGAUACCUUGAGGACCUGGAUCACCCUAAAGAAUAUAAUAAACAUCGUCAAGACAGAUUAAUUUCUACACAUCUUUCUACAAACAAAAUUGUGAUUACCUCUAAACUACUGAUUCAUUUCUUCUCAGUACAUAAAUUUCGGAGCUAUUGAUGACAGCACAAAAAACAAAACAAAGAAACAGCAACAAAAACUAGACCCGGAAGUCCAUCAAACCCUCGAUCUCCCUGUAAAACCAUCAUCAUCAUCAUCAUCAUCAUCAUCAUCACAAUUCCAGUCUAGAUAUGUACUGCAAUUUAAAUGCGAAAUAUUCUCUCAGAUUCAGAAAAUGGAUUUUUAAAUAUAAAAUUUUCCAGAGUGAACUGACACAGGAUGUGAAUAUAAAAAUAUGUGAGCUCCUGACCUUUGCCCCAGGUUCUCCUGGCAUUCCUCUUCCUCCAUCUGCACCUGGACGACCCUAAUAAUGCCAACAGCAUGAUUAAGCGAAGUGACUUUUAUUACUAGCAAGGAAGUAAAAUAAAUAAAUAAAUAAAUAAAUAAAUAAAACUAAUGAUCAUGGCAGAUGCCUUCAAAAUGCACAAUGAAAAUAAGCCAUACCCUUUUUCCAG